UUGAAAGGGAAACGAUUGAAGUCAGUCGUACCUGCGGGUAAUCAGCCUUUUGGGCAUGAUUCUGUGGAGCGUGAGGAGUUAAACGCCUUCAUGCCUGCAUAUUCGUGUACAUUGGGUGUACUUGCCUGUGUGGUUAGUUAACAUCAAUUUUGGUUAUCAUAAAAUGGUUGGAGGAAUGUAGCUUCGAUUUCGAUUGAAGUGUUAUAGCCUUCGGCAGAUGUGAUGAUCGGGAUUGAGGAUUGCAACGGAUACCCUUCGGGGCUACCUGUCUGGUCUCUGAUCGUUGUUCUGGUGCCGAAAGCGUGCUUACGGUUAUCAAAGUCGAUGGUCAAUAGGUUAGAACGGGUUAAAUUCGUUAAGGAUGUUGACGUA
rnacentral:rRNA from 1 species